rnacentral:rRNA from 1 species
GAUGAACGCUGGCGGCGUGCCUAAUACAUGCAAGUCGAGCGAAUGGAUUAAGAGCUUGCUCUUAUGAAGUUAGCGGCGGACGGGUGAGUAACACGUGGGUAACCUGCCCAUAAGACUGGGAUAACUCCGGGAAACCGGGGCUAAUACCGGAUAACAUUUUGGACCGCAUGGUUCGAAAUUGAAAGGCGGCUUCGGCUGUCACUUAUGGAUGGACCCGCGUCGCAUUAGCUAGUUGGUGAGGUAACGGCUCACCAAGGCAACGAUGCGUAGCCGACCUGAGAGGGUGAGCGGGCACACGGGGACUGAGACACGGCCCAGACUCCUACGGGAGGCAGCAGUAGGGAAUCUUCCGCAAUGGACGAAAGUCUGACGGAGCAACGCCGCGUGAGUGAUGAAGGCUUUCGGGUCGUAAAACUCUGUUGUUAGGGAAGAACAAGUGCUAGUUGAAUAAGCUGGCACCUUGACGGUACCUAACCAGAAAGCCACGGCUAACUACGUGCCAGCCGCCGCGGUAA